rnacentral:rRNA from 1 species
UACGAAGGGGGCGAGCGUUGUUCGGAUUUACUGGGCGUAAAGGGCGCGUAGGCGCCUUGUCAGUCAGGCGUGAAAGCCCCGGGCUCAACCUGGGAAUGGCCGUUGAAACUGGCGAACUGGAGUGUGGCAGAGGGGGGUGGAAUUCCGCGUGUAGCAGUGAAAUGCGUAGAGAUGCGGAGGAACACCAAUGGCGAAGGCAGCUCGCUGGGACGUGACCGACGCUGAGACGCGAAAGCGUGGGGAGCAAACAGG